UUGCUCACUCUCUGAGUGUUUCGUCGAGGGGUGAACACGGUCAAGGUUUUUCAACAAGAAAAUUAACCUGCAAAUUAAAUUGAGAAUGUGUAAUUUUGUUAAUGAGGUGGAGUUGCAAUAAGAAUUGCAUUGCAUUUGGUUGCAGUGUGUUUGUUUCCACCGCGUUAUCAAAGGCUUUAUGAUACAAGGUGGAGACA